CCAUUUUGCUGGAUCGCGCGUACGGUGGUCCCGUUAUUGUCGCAUCGUCUGAGGGU
rnacentral:ribozyme from 1 species